GUAGUCCACGCCGUAAACGAUGUCGACUUGGAGGUUGUUCCCUUGAGGAGUGGCUUCCGGAGCUAACGCGUUAAGUCGACCGCCUGGGGAGUACGGCCGCAAGGUUAAAACUCAAAUGAAUUGACGGGGGCCCGCACAAGCGGUGGAGCAUGUGGUUUAAUUCGAUGCAACGCGAAGAACCUUACCUACUCUUGACAUCCAGAGAACUUAGCAGAGAUGCUUUGGUGCCUUCGGGAACUCUGAGACAGGUGCUGCAUGGCUGUCGUCAGCUCGUGUUGUGAAAUGUUGGGUUAAGUCCCGCAACGAGCGCAACCCUUAUCCUUUGUUGCCAGCGGUUCGGCCGGGAACUCAAAGGAGACUGCCAGUGAUAAACUGGAGGAAGGUGGGGAUGACGUCAAGUCAUCAUGGCCCUUACGAGUAGGGCUACACACGUGCUACAAUGGCGCAUACAAAGAGAAGCGACCUCGCGAGAGCAAGCGGACCUCAUAAAGUGCGUCGUAGUCCGGAUCGGAGUCUGCAACUCGACUCCGUGAAGUCGGAAUCGCUAGUAAUCGUAGAUCAGAAUGCUACGGUGAAUACGUUCCCGGGCCUUGUACACACCGCCCGUCACACCAUGGGAGUGGGU
rnacentral:rRNA from 1 species